UCGGUAUGAUCAUUCUUUCAUCAGUUUGUUCCCUGUUUCUUCUCUAGCCUGAGCCUGACACACUAUUCUAGCUAGACAUGGGUGUGGCUCGUGACACCUGAUGACCAAAUGGAUCUACGGCACCGUCGAAUCUCAAACUUUAACUGCCAAAACUAUUGUUUUUCAUCCUGUAGUCCCUUUUAGAAUUACGAAACGUCCUUUUUUGGGCCAUGAUUUCCAGGAAUGCUUUCUCGGGGUUUGUGUGCACGUAUUUCAAACCAUACGGACCUAAAAAUUAGAAGUCAUUCCAUCUUUAUUCCCCUAGAGCCUUCCGGCAGUUCCUAAACUGCUCUAUUUGGAGCAUGUUAUCAUUCUUGUUAGUUCUGAGUGAAUUCCCUCGGUAUGAUCAUUCUUUCAUCAGUUUGUUCCCCGUUUCUUCUCUAGUCUGAGCCUAGCACACUAUUCUAGCUAUUAAUGGGUGUGGAUCGUAACACCUGAUGAGCAAACGGAUCUACGGCACCAUCGAAUCUCAAACUUUAACUGCCAAAACUAUUGUUUUUCAUUCUGUAGUCCCUUUUCGAAUUAUUAAACGUCCUUUUUUGGGCCGAGAUUUCCAGGAACGCUUUCUCGGGGUUUGUGUGCAUGUAUUUCAAAUCAUACGGACCUAAAAAUUAGAAGGCAUUCCAUCUUUAUUCCCCUAGAGACUUCCAGCAGUUCCUAAACCGCUCCAGUCGGAGCAUGUUAUCAUUCUUGUUAGUUCUGAGCGAAUUCCCUCGGUAUGAUCAUUCUAUCAUCUGUUUGUUCCCUGUUUCUUCGCUAGCCUAAGCCUGACACACUAUUCUAGGUAGACAUGGGUGUGGCUCGUGACACCUAAUGACCAAACGGAUCUACGGCACCCUCGAAUCUCAAACUUUAACUACCAAAACUAUUGUUUUUCAUUCUGUAGUCCCUUUUAGAUUACUAAACAUCCUUUUUUGGGCUGAGAUUUCCAGGAACGCUUUCUCGGGGUUUGUGUGCAUGUAUUUCAAACCAAACGUUCCUAAAAUUAGAAGUCAUUCCAUCUUAAUUCCCCUAGAGCCUUCUAGCAAUUCCUAAACAGCUCUAGUCGGAGCAUGUUAUCAUUCUUGUUAAUUCUGAGCGAAUUCCCUCCGUAUGAUCAUUCUUUCAUCAGUUUGUUCUCCGUUUCUGCUCUAGUCUGAGCCUAGCACACUAUUCUAGCUAUUAAUGGGUGUGGAUCGUAACACCUAAUGACCAAACGGAUCUACGACACCAUCGAAUCUCAAACUUUAACUGCCAAAACUAUUGUUUUUCAUCCUGUAGUCCCUUUUCGAAUUAUUAAACGUCCUUUUUUGGGCCGAGAUUUCCAGGAACGCUUUCUCGGGGUUUGUGUGGAUGUAUUUCAAAUCAUACGGACCUAAAAAUUAGAAGGCAUUCCAUCUUUAUUCCCCUAGAGCCUUCCAGCAGUUCCUANNNNNNNNNNNNNNNNNNNNNNNNNNNNNNNNNNNNNNNNNNNNNNNNNNNNNNNNNNNNNNNNNNNNNNNNNNNNNNNNNNNNNNNNNNNNNNNNNNNNNNNNUCGCUAGCCUAAGCCUGACACACUAUUCUAGCUACACAUGGGUGUGGCUCGUGACACCUAAUGACCAAACAGAUCUACGGCACCGUCGAAUCUCAAACUUUAACUACCAAAACUAUUGUUUUUCAUUCUGUAGUCCCUUUUAAAUUACUAAACGUCAUUUUUUGGGCCGAGAUUUCUAGGAACGCUUUCUCGGGGUUUGUGUGCAUGUAUUUCAAGUCAUAUGGACCUAAAAAUUAGAAUCCAUUCCAUCUUUAUUCCCCUAGAGCCUUCCAGCAGUUCCUAAACUGCUCCAGUCGGAGCACAUUAUCAUUAUUGUUAGUUCUGACUGAAUUCCCUCGGUAUGAUCAUUCUUUCAUCAGUUUGUUCCCCGUUUCUGCUCUACUCUGAGCUUAACACACUAUUCUAGCUAGGCAUGGGUGUGGCUCGUAACACCUGAUGACCAAACGGAUCUACGAUACCGUCGAAUCUCAAACUUUGACUACGAAAACUAUUGUUUUUCAUUCUAUAGUCCCUUUUAGAAUUACUAAACGUCCUUUUUUGGGCCGAGAUUUCCAGGAACGCUUUCUCGGGGUUUGUGUGCACGUAUUUCAAACAAUACGGACCUAAAAAUUAGAAUUCAUUCCAUCUUUAUUCCCCUAGAGCCUUCCAGCAGUUCCUAAACCGCUCUAGUCGGAGCACUUUAUCAUUCUUGUUAGUUCUCAGCGAAUUCCCUCGGUAUGAUCAUUCUUUCAUCAGUUUGUUCCCCAUUUCUUCUCUAGCCUGAGCCUAACACACUAUUCUAGCUACACAUGGGUGUGGCUCGUCACACCCGAUGACCAAACGGAUCUACGGCACCGUCGAAUCUCAAACUUUAACUGCCAAAACUAUUGUUUUUCAUCCUGUAGUCCCUUUUAGAAUUACUAAACGUCCUUUUUUGGGUAGAUAUUUCUAGGAACGCUUUAUCGGGGUUUGUGUGCACGUAUUUCAGACCAUACGGACCUAAAAAUUAGAAGUCAUUCCAUCUUUAUUCCCCUAUAGCCUUCCAGCAGUUCCUAAACCGCUCCAGUCGGAGCCCGUUAUCAUUCUUGUUAGUUUUGAGCGAAUUCCCUCGGUAUGAUCAUUCUUUCAUCAGUUUGUUCCCCGUUUCUUCUCUAGUCUAAGCCUAGCACACUAGUUUAGCUAGACAUGGGUGUGGCUCGUAACACCUGAUGGCCAAACGGAUCUACGGCACCGUGAAAUCUCAAACUUUAACUGCCAAAACUAUUGUUUUUCAUCCUGUAGUCCCUUUUAGAAUUACUAAACGUCCUUUUUUGGGCUGAGAUUUCCAGGAACACUUUCUCGGGGUUUGUGUGCAUGUAUUUCAAACCAUAUGGACCUAAAAAUUAGAAGUCAUUCCAUCUUUAUUCCCCUAGAGCCUUCCAACAGUCCCUAAACCGCUCCAGUCCGAGCAUGUUAUCAUUCUUGUUAGUUCUGAGUGAAUUCCCUCGGUAUGAUCAUUCUUUCAUCAGUUUGUUCCCCAUUUCUUCUCUAGUCUGAGCCUAGCUCACUAUUCUAGCUAGACAUGGGUGUGGCUCAUAAUACCUGAUGACCAAACGGAUCUACGGCACCAUCGAAUCUCAAACUUUAACUGCCAAAACAAUUGUUUUUCAUCCUGUAGUCCCUUUUAGAAUUACUAAACGUCCUUUUUUGGGCCGAGAUUUCCAGGAACGCUUUCUCGGGGUUUGUGUGCACGUAUUUCAAACCAAGCGUUCUUAAAAAUUAGAAGUCAUUCCAUCUUUAUUCCCCUAGAGCCUUACAGCAGUUCCUAAACUGCUCCAGUCGGCGCACGUUAUCAUUCUUGUUAGUUCUGAGCGAAUUCCCUCGGUAUGAUCAUUCUUUCAUCAGUUUGUUCCCCGUUUCUUCUCUAGUUUGAGCCUAGCACACUAUUCUAGCUAGACAUGGGUGUGGGUCAUAACACCUGAUGACCAAACAGAUCGACGACACCAUCGAAUCUCAAACUUUAACUGCCAAAACUAUUGUUUUUCAUCCUGUAGUCCCUUUUAGAAUUACUAAACGUCCUUUUUUGGGUCGAGAUUUCCAAGAAAGCUUUCUCGGGCUUUGUGUGCACGUAUUUCAAACCAAAAAUUUCUAAAAAUUAGAAGUCAUUCCAUCUUUAUUCCCCUAGAGCCUUCCAGCAGUUCCUAAACAGCUCCAGUCGGAGCACGUUAUCAUUCUUGUUAGUUCUGAGCGAAUUCCCUCGGUAUGAUCAUUCUUUCAUCAGUUUGUUCCCCGUUUCUUCUAUAGUCUGAGCCUAUCACACUAUUCUAGCUAGACAUGGGUGUGGCUCGUAACACCUGAUGACCAAACGGAUCUACGGCACCAUCGAAUCUAAAACUUUAACUGCCAAAACUAUUGUUUUUCAUCCUGUAGUCCCUUUAGAACUACUAAAUGUCCUUUUUUGGGCCAAGAUUUCCAGGAACGCUUUCUCGGGGUUUGUGUGCAUGUAUUUCAAACCAUACGGACCUAAAAAUUAGGUCAUUCCAUCUUUAUUCCCCUAGAGCCUUCCAGCAGUUCCUAAACCGCUCCAGUCGGAGCAUGUUAUCAUUCUUGUUUGUUCUGAGUGAAUUCCCUCAGUAUGAUCAUUCUUUCAUCAUUUUGUUCCCCGUUUCUUCUCUAGUCUGAGCCUAGCACACUAUUCUAGCUAGACAUGGGUGUGGCUCGUAACACCUGACCAAACGGAUCUACGGCACCGUCGAAUCUCAAACUUUAACUGCCAAAACUAUUGUUUUUCAUCCUGUAGUCCCUUUUAAAUUUAAUAAACGUCCUUUUUUGGGCUGAGAUUUCCAGGAACGCUUUCGUGCGGUUUGUGUGCAAGUAUUUCAAAUCAUACAGACCUAUAAAUUAGAAGUCAUUUCAUCUUUAUUCCCCUAGAGCCUUCGAGCGGUUCCUAAACCGCUCAAGUCGGAGCAUGUUAUCAUUCUUGUUAGUUCUGAGUGAAUUCCCUCGGUAUGAUCAUUCUUUCAUCAGUUUGUUCCCCGUUCCUUCUCUAGUCUGAGCCUAGCACACUACUCUAGCUAGACAUGGGUUUGGCUCGUAACACCUGAUAACCAAACGGGUCUACGACACCAUCGAAUCUCAAACUUUUUUGGGCCAAGAUUUGCAGGAACGCUUUCUCGGGGUUUGUGUGCACGUAUUUCAAAUCAUGCGGACCUAAAAAUUAGAAGUCAUUCCAUAUUUGUUCCCCUAGAGCCUUCCAGCAGUUCCUAAACCGCUCCAGUUGGACCACGUUAUCAUUCUUGUUAGUUCUGAGUGAAUUACCUCGGUAUGAUCAUUCUUUCAUAAGUUUGUUCCCCGUUUCUUCUAUAGUCUGAGCCUAGCACACUACUCUAGCUAGACAUGGGAGUGGCUCGUAACACCUGAUGACCAAACAGAUCUAUGGCACCGUCGAAUCUCAAACUUUAACUGCCAAAACUAUUGUUUUUCAUCCUGUAGUCCCUUUUAGAAUUACUAAACGUCAUUUUUUGGGCUGAGAUUUCCAGGAACGCUUUCGCGGGGUUUGUGUGCACGUAUUUCAAACCAUAGGGACCUAAAAAUUAGAAGUCAUUCCAUCUUUAUUCCCCUAGAGCCUAACACACUAUUCUAGCUAGACAUGGGUGUGGCUCGUAACACCUGAUGACAAAACGGAUCUACGGCACCAUCGAAUCUCAAACUUUAACUGCCAAAAUUAUUGUAUUUCAUCCUGUAGUCCCUUUUAGAAUUAUUAAACGUCCUUUUUUUGGGCUGUGAUUUCCAUGAACGCUUUCUCGGGGUUUCUGUGCACGUAUUUCAAAUCAUACGGACCUAAAAAUUAGAAGUCAUUCCAUCUUUAUUCCCCUAGAGCCUUCCAACAGUUCCUAAACCGCUCCAGUCGGAGCACAUUAUCAUUCUUGUUAGUUCUGAGUGAAUUCCCAUGGUAUGAUCAUUCUUUCAUUAGUUUGUUCCCCGUUUCUUCUCUAGUCUGAGCCUACCACACUAUUCUAGCUAGACAUGGGUGUGGCUCAUAACACCUUAUGACCAAACGGAUCUACGGCACCAUCGAAUCUCAAACUUUAACCGCCAAAACUAUUGUUUUUCAUCAUGUAGUCCCUUUUAGAAUUACUAAACGUCCUUCUUUGGGCAGAGAUUUCCAGGAAUGCUUUAUCGGGGUUUGUGUGCACGUAUUUCAGACCAUACGGACCUAAAAAUUAGAAGUCAUUCCAUCUUUAUUCCCCUAGAGCCUUCCAAUAGUUCCUGAACCGCUCCAGUCGGAGCAUGUUAUCAUUCUUGUUAGUUCUGAGCGAAUUCCCUCGGUAUGAUCAUUCUUUCAUCAGUUUGUUUCCCGUUUCUUCUCUAGUCUGAGCCUAGCACACUACUCUAGCUAGACAUUGGUGUGGCUCGUAACACCUGAUGACCAAACGGAUCUACGGCACUGUCAAAUCUCAAACUUUAACUGCCAAAACUAUUGUUUUUCAUCCUGUAGUCCCUUUUAGAAUUACUAAACGUCCUUUUUUGGGCCGAUAUUUCCAGGAACGCUUUCUUGGGGUUUGUGUGCAUGUAUUUCAAACCAUAUGGAACUAAAAAUUACAAGUCAUUCCAUCUUUAUUCCCCUAGAGCCUUCCAGCAGUUCCUAAACCGCUCCAAUCGGAGCAUGUUAUCAUUCUUGUUAAUUCUGAGUGAAUUCCCUUGGUAUGAUCAUUCUUUCAUCAGUUUGUUCCCGAUUUCUUCUCCAGUCUGAGCCUAGCUCACUAUUCUAGCUAGACAUGGGUGUGGCUCAUAAUACCUGAUGACCAAACGGAUCUACGACACCAUCGAAUCUCAAACUUUAACUGCCAAAACUAUUGUUUUUCAUCUUGUAGUCCCUUUUAGAAUUACUAAACGUCCUUUUGUGGGCUGAGAUUUCCAGGAACGCUUUAUCGGGGUUUGUGUGCUCGUAUUUCAGACCAUACGGACCUAAAAAUUAGAACUCAUUCCAUCUUUAUUCCCCUAGAGCCUUCCAGCAGCUCCUAAACCGCUCCAGUCGAGCACGUUAUCAUUCUUGUUAGUUCUGAGCAAAUUCCCUCGUUAUGAUCAUUCUUUCAUCAGUUUGUUCCCCGUUUCUUCUCUGGUCUGAGCCUAGCACACUAUUCUAGCUAUUAAUGGGUGUGGAUCGUAACACUUGAUGAUCAAACAGAUCUACGGCACCAUCGAUUCUCAAACUUUAACUGCCAAAACUAUUGUUUUUCAUCCUGUAGUCCCUUUUAGAAUUAUUAAACGUCCUUUUUUGGGCCGAGAUUUCUAGGAACGCUGUCUCGGGGUUUGUGUGCACGUAUUUCUAAUCAUACGGACCUAAAAAUUAGAAGUCAUUCCAUAUUUAUUCCCCUAGAGCCUUCCAGCAGUUCCUAAACCGCUCAAGUCGGAGCACGUUAUCAUUCUUGUUAGUUCUUAGCGAAUUCCCUCGAUAUGAUCAUUCUUUCAUCAGUUUGUUCCCCGUUUCUUCUCUAGCCUGAGCCCGACACACUAUUCUAGCUAGACAUGGGUGUGGCUCGUAACACCUAAUGACCAAACGGAUCUACGGCACCGUUGAAUCUCAAACUUUAACAGCCAAAAUUAUUGUUUUUCAUUAUGUAGUCUCUUUUAAAUUACUAAACGUCAUUUUUUGAGCUGAGAUAUCCAGGAACGCUUUCUCGGGGUUUUUGUGCACGUAUUUCAAAUCAUACGGACCUGAAAAUUAGAAGUCAUUCCAUCUUUAUUCCCCUAGAGCCUUCCAGCAGUUCCUAAACCGCUCCAGUUGGACCACGUUAUCAUUCUUGUUAGUUCUGAGUGAAUUACCUUAGUAUGAUCAUUCUUUCAUCAGUUUGUUCCCUGUUUCUUCUAUAGUCUGAGCCUAGCACACUACUCUAGCUAGACAUGGGUGUGGCUCGUAACACCUGAUGACCAAACAGAUCUACGGCACCGUCGAAUCUCAAACUUUAACUGCCAAAACUAUUGUUUUUCAUCCUGUAGACCCUUUUAGAAUUACUAAACGUCCUUUUUUGGGCUGAGAUUUCCGGGAACGCUUUCACGGGGUUUGUGUGCACGUAUUUUAAACCAUAUGGACCUAAAAAUUAGAAGUCAUUCCAUCUUUAUUCCCAUAGAGCCUAACACACUAUUCUAGCUAGAUAUGGGUGUGGCUCGUAACACCUGAUGACCAAACGGAUCUACGGCACCAUCGAAUCUCAAACUUUAACUGCCAAAACUAUUGUAUUUCAUCAUGUAGUCCCUUUUAGAAUUAUUAAACGUCCUUUUUUAGGGCCGUGAUUUCCAUGAACGCUUUCUUGGGGUUUCUGUGCAUGUAUUUCAAAUCAUACGGACCUAAAAAUUAGAAGUCAUUCCAUCUUUAUUCCCCUAGAGCCUUCCAGCAGUUCCUAAACCGCUUCAGUCGGAGCACGUUAUCAUUCUUGUUAGUUCUGAGUGAAUUCCCUUGGUAUGAUCAUUCUUUCAUCAGUUUGUUCCCCGUUUCUUCUCUAGUCUGAGCCUAGCACACUAUUCUAGCUAGACAUGGGUGUGGCUCAUAACACCUCAUGACCAAACGGAUCUACGGCACCAUCGAAUCUCAAACUUUAACUGCCAAAACUAUUGUUUUUCAUCCUGUAGUCCCUUUUAGAAUUACUAAACGUCCUUUUUUGGGCAGAUAUUUCCAGGAACGCUUUAUCGGGGUUUGUGUGCUCGUAUUUCAGACCAUACGGACCUAAAAAUUAGAACUCAUUCCAUCUUUAUUCCCCUAUAGCCUUCCAGCAAUUCCGAAACCACUCUAUUCGGAGCACGUUAUCAUUCUUGUUAGUUCUAAAAGAAUUCCCUCGGUAUGAUCAUUCUUUCAUCAGUUUAUUUCCCGUUUCUUCUCUAGUCUAAGCCUAGCACACUAGUCUAGCUAGACAUGGGUGUGGCUCGUAACACCUGAUGACCAAACGGAUCUACGGCACCGUCAAAUCUCAAACUUUAACUGCCAAAACUAUUGUUUUUCAUCCUGUAGUCCCUUUAGAAUUACAAAAGGUCCUUUUUUGGGCCGAGAUUUCCAGGAACACUUUCUCGGGGGUUUGUGUGCAUGUAUUUCAAACCAUAUGGACCUAAAAAUUAGAAGUCAUUCCAUCUUUAUUCCCCUAGAGCCUUCCAGCAGUUCCUAAACCGCUCCAGUCGGAGCAUGUUAUCAUUCUUGUUAGUUCUGAGUGAAUUCCCUCGGUAUGAUCAUUCUUUCAUCAGUUUGUUCCCCAUUUCUUCUCUAGUCUGAGCCUAGCUCACUAUUCUAGCUAGACAUGGGUGUGGCUCGUAAUACCUGAUGACCAAAUGGAUCUACGGCACCAUCGAAUCUCAAACUUUUACUGCCAAAACUAUUGUUUUUCAUCCUGUAGUCCCUUUUAGAAUUACUAAACGUCCUUUUUUGGGCUGAGAUUUCCAGGAACGCUUUCUUGGGGUUUGUGUGCACGUAUUUCAAACCAAGCGUUCCUAAAAAUUAGAAGUCAUUCCAUCUUUAUUCCCCUAGAGCCUUACAGCAGUUCCUAAACUGCUCCAGUCGGCGCACGUUAUCAUUCUUGUUAGUUCUGAGUGAAUUCCCUCGGUAUGAUCAUUCUUUCAUCAGUUUGUUCCCCGUUUCUUCUCUAGUCUGAGCCUACCACACUAUUCUAGCUAGACAUGGGUGUGGCUCAUAACACCUUAUGACCAAACGGAUCUACGGCACCAUCGAAUCUCAAACUUUAACUGCCAAAACUAUUGUUUUUCAUCCUGUAGUCCCUUUUAGAAUUACUAAACGUCCUUUUUUGGGCAGAUAUUUCCAGGAAUGCUUUAUCGGGGUUUGUGUGCACGUAUUUCAGACCAUACGGACCUAAAAAUUAGAAGUCAUUCCAUCUUUAUUCCCCUAUAGCCUUCCACCAGUUCCUAAACCACUCCAGUCGGAGCACGUUAUCAUUCUUGUUAGUUCUGAGCGAAUUCCCUCGGUAUGAUCAUUCUUUCAUCAGUUUAUUCCCCGUUUCUUCUCUAGUCUAAGCCUAGCACACUAGUCUAGCUAGACAUGGGUGUGGCUCGUAACACCUGAUGACCAAACGGAUCUACGGCACCGUCAAAUCUCAAACUUUAACUGCCAAAACUAUUGUUUUUCAUCCUGUAGUCCCUUUUAGAAUAACUAAACGUCCUUUUUUGGGCCGAGAUUUCCGGGAACACUUUCUCGGGGUUUGUGUGCAUGUAUUUCAAACCAUAUGGACCUAAAAAUUAGAAGUCAUUCCAUCUUUAUUCCCCUAGAGCCUUCCAGCAGUUCCUAAACCGCUCCAGUCGGAGCAUGUUAUCAUUCUUGUUAGUUCUGAGUGAAUUCCCUCGGUACGAUCAUUCUUUCAUCAGUUUGUUCCCCGUUUCUUCUCUAGUCUGAGCCUAGCUCACUAUUCUAGCUAGACAUGGGUGUGGCUCAUAAUACCUGAUGACCAAACGGAUCUACGGCACUAUCGAAUCUCAAACUUUAACUGCCAAAACUAUUGUUUUUCAUCCUGUAGUCCCUUUUAGAAUUACUAAACGUCCUUUUUUGGGCCGAGAUUUCCAGGAACGCUUUCUUGGGGUUUGUGUGCAUGUAUUUCAAACCAAGCGUUCCUAAAAAUUAGAAGUCAUUCCAUCUUUAUUCCCCUAGAGCCUUACAGCAGUUCCUAAACUGCUCCAGUCGGCGCACGUUAUCAUUCUUGUUAGUUCUGAGCGAAUUCCCUCGGUAUGAUCAUUCUUUCAUCAGUUUGUUCCCCAUUUCUUCUCUAGUUUGAGCCUAGCACACUAUUCUAGCUAGACAUGGGUGUGGGUCAUAACACCUGAUGACCAAACAGAUCGACGACACCAUCGACUCUCAAACUUUAACUGCCAAAACUAUUGUUUUUCAUCCUGUAGUCCCUUUUAGAAUUACUAAACGUCCUUUUUUGGGCCGAGAUUUCCAAGAACGCUUUCUCGGGGUUUGUGUGCACGUAUUUCAAACCAAACAUUCCUAAAAAUUAGAAGUCAUUCCAUCUUUAUUCCCCUAGAGCCUUCCAGUAGUUCCUAAACAGCUCCAGUCGGAGGACGUUAUCAUUCUUGUUAGUUCUGAGUGAAUUCCCUCGGUAUGAUCAUUCUUUCAUCAGUUUGUUCCCUGUUUCUUCUCUAGUAUGAGCCUCGCACACUAUUCUAGCUAUUAAUGGGUGUGGAUCGUAACACCUGAUGACCAAACGGAUCUACGGCACCAUCGAAUAUCAAACUUUAACUGCCAAAACUAUUGUUUUUCAUUCUGUAGUCCCUUUUAAAUUACUAAAUGUCAUUUUUGGGCUGAGAUAUCCAGGAACGCUUUCUCGGGGUUUGUGUGCAUGUAUUUCAAAUCAUACGGACCUAAAAAUUAGAAGUCAUUCCAUCUUUAUUCCCCUAGAGCCUUCCAGCAGUUCCUAAACCACUCCAGUCGGAACACGUUGUCAUUAUUGUUAGUUCUGAGUGAAUUCCCUCGGUAUGAUCAUUCUUUCAUCAGUUUUUUCCCCGUUUCUUCUAUAGUCUGAGCCUAUCACACUAUUCUAGCUAGACAUGGGUGUGGCACGUAACACCUGAUGACCAAACGGAUCUACGGCACCGUCGAAUCUCAAACUUUAACUGCCAAAACUAUUGUUUUUCAUCCUGUUGUCCCUUUAGAAUUACUAAAUGUCCUUUUUUGGGCCGAGAUUUCCAGGAACGCUUUCUCGGGAUUUGUGUGCAUGUAUUUCAAACCAUACGGACCUACAAAUUAGGUCAUUCCAUCUUUAUUCCCCUAGAGCCUUCCAGCAGUUCCUAAACUGCUCCAGUCGGAGCACGUUAUCAUUCUUGUUUGUUCUCAGCGAAUUCCCUCGGUAUGAUCAUUCUUUCAUCAUUUUGUUCCCCGUUUCUUCUCUAGUCUAAGCCUAGCACACUAUUCUAGCUACACAUGGGUGUGGCUCGUAACACCUGAUGACCAAACGGAUCUACGGCACCGUCGAAUCUCAAACUUUAACUGCCAAAACUAUUGUUUUUCAACCUAUAGUCCCUUUUAAAUUUACUAAACGUCCUUUUUUGGGCUGAGAUUUCCAGGAACGCUUUCGUGCGGUUUGUGUGCAAGUAUUUGAAAUCAUACGGACCUAUAAAUUAGAAGUCAUUUCAUCUUUAUUCCCCUAGAGCCUUCGAGCGGUUCCUAAACCGCUCCAGUCGGAGCAUGUUAUCGUUCUUGUUAGUUCUGAGUGAAUUCCCUCGGUAUGAUCAUUCUUUCAUCAGUUUGUUCCCCAUUUCUUCUCUAGUCUGAGCCUAGCACACUACUCUAGCUAGACAUGGGUUUGGCUUGUAACACCUGAUAACCAAACGGGUCUACGACACCAUCGAAUCUCAAACUUUUUUGGGCCGAGAUUUCCAGGAACGCUUUCUCGGGGUUUGUGUGCACGUAUUUCAAAUCAUGCGGACCUAAAAAUUAGAAGUCAUUCCAUAUUUAUUCCCCUAGAGCCUUCCAGCAGUUCCCAAACCGCUCCAGUCGGAGCAUGUUAUCAUUCUUGUUAGUUCUGAGCGAGUUCCCUCGGUAUGAUCAUUCUUUCAUCAGUUUGUUCCCUGUUUCUUCUCUAGCCUGAGCCUGACACACUAUUAUAGCUAGACAUGGGUGUGGCUCGUGACACCUGAUGACCAAAUGGAUCUACGGCACCGUCGAAUCUCAAACUUUAACUGCCAAAACUAUUGUUUUUCAUCCUGUAGUCCCUUUUAGAAUUACGAAACGUCCUUUUUUGGGCCAUGAUUUCCAGGAAUGCUUUCUUGGGGUUUGUGUGCACGUAUUUCAAACCAUACGGACCUAAAAAUUAGAAGUCAUUCCAUCUUUAUUCCCCUAGAGCCUUCCAGCAGUUCCUAAACUGCUCUAUUUGGAGCAUGUUAUCAUUCUUGUUAGUUCUGAGUGAAUUCCCUCGGUAUGAUCAUUCUUUCAUCAGUUUGUUCCCCGUUUCUUCUCUAGUCUGAGCCUAGCACACUAUUCUAGCUAUUAAUGGGUGUGGAUCGUAACACCUGAUGAGCAAACGGAUCUACGGCACAAUCGAAUCUCAAACUUUAACUGCCAAAACUAUUGUUUUUCAUUCUGUAGUCCCUUUUCGAAUUAUUAAACGUCCUUUUUUGGGCCGAGAUUUCCAGG
rnacentral:lncRNA from 1 species